AUGUUGGCCAUCCCGAGAGAGCAGUCCAGCCAGACCCCUUUGUUGCUUCCACAGAGGUUUAGUCUGGGCACUAGUGGAGUGUUUUCCACAGUGAGCACCAAAGAGAAGCAGCUCAUCCCUCAGCUCACCGGCUCACAAAGCACAGGAUCCAGGACCAGAGAAGCAGUGCCCAGCGCGGUGCUCGGCCGCAGUAAACAGCUGGCUGACCGAGUGCAGCAGCGAGUGAGUGAACCAGCAAGUGUCCUGGCAGGGACACGGAGGCCCGGAGGCCCGGCGCGGAGGGCCCCUCCAGGUAGGGCCCAGGCUGAGUGGGCAGGGGUGCAGGACCGAGCAGCUGGGAGGUAGGGAGAAGGCUGAGACGAGAGGCCAUCUCUUUCCACGUACAGCAUUCCUCAGGCAGCUGGGACCCGGCUGCCACCCCCACACCCAGGUUCCUUCUUGCUCGCCUGCCCUCCCCCGGGGCCAAGUGUCCUGUGCGAGAGGUGACAGCUGAUCCAAGCACAUUUCCGGGUCAGGAUAGACUGACCAGGAGAGGAUAUCUUCUCCCCUCUUCCUCCAACCUGAAAGCACACACACGCAUUCACACGCACACACACAUAUGCUCACCCAUCACCUUGGCUCUGGAAGUUACCACCCCGCAGCUGGCACUGGGGUGGCUGUUUCCACCAGAUCUAUGCCAUUCUCCUGGGACUCACAACCCAUCUUAUUUGAAAUUGUCCCCAGACCUCCCUCAUCUCCCCUCCUACGUUGCAAACUCCUUAUAAGCAGAGGCUCCAAUGAGAUGCAUCUUUGCACACCCACAAUACUCAGGUGUCACCAAGUAUUAGUGGAGUGAACGAACAUUUCCAACAACAAGAAUGAAGACAGGAGCCAUGAGACACUGAACACAGAUUCAGUUCCAAAGAGUUGUCAAGGUCCAUAGUGUCUGAUAAUUCCUAAAAGAAUGGAUUUCACUUUUCACCAGAUUUGUGGCUGGAAACGAAGAUCAUGACAUCCAGUCCCAUCACUUCAUGGCAAAUAGAUGGGGAAACAAAGGAAACAGUGACAGACUUUAUAUUCUUGGGCCCCAAAAUCACUGCAGAUGGUGACUGACGUGAUGAAAUUAAAAGACACUUGCUGCUUGGAAGAAAAGCUAUAGACAACCUAGACCGCAUAUUAAAAAAGCAGAGAUGUUACUUUGCAGACAAAGGUCAGUCUAGUCAAAGCUAAUGGUUUUUCCAGUAGUCAUUUGUGAGAGAUGGACUGUGAAGAAAUCUGAGGGCCAAAGAAUUGAUGCUUUUGAACUGUGGUAUUGGAGAAGAAUCUUGAGAGUCCCUUGGACUGCAAGGAGAUCCAACCAGUCCAUCCUAAAGGAAAUCAGUUUGAAUAUUCAUUGGAAGGACUGAUGCUGAAGCUGAAACUCCAAUACUUUGGCCACCUGAAGUGAAGAACUGACUCAUUUUUUUAAAAGACCCUGAUGCUGGGAAAGACUGAAGGCAGGAGAAGAAAGGGACAACAGAGGAUGAGAUGGUUGGAUGGCAUCAUUGACUCAAUGGACAUGAGUUUGAGCAAGCUCCAGGAGUUGGUGAUGGACAGGGAAGCCUGGUGUGCUGCAGUCCAUGGAGUCGCAAAGACUUGGACACGACUGAGCGACUGAACUGAUGGGUGGAAACAGAAAAAGCUAAAUUUAGAUAGGAAAUUACAUUAGGCUGAAGCCUGGAUAUGGAGCAAGACACAAGAAAAGUUGAGCAGGAGGAGAAUCUCUGUGUAAUGUGAAUGAGCUAUCUGUUUUCUCUCACUUCCAGAACAAAGGAGCUUAUCCUUGACGUCAAUGUAGGUGAAGAAACAAAAGGCUCUGGGUGUGUGCAAGGUGCAGCUGGGCCUGGAUUUGCUUGGCAUUUGUGUAGGUUUAUUCAGGAGGGGGCAGGGAAUGGUAGUUGAGGUGUCAAUAUCAGACAGACAGAAACUGGCUGCUGCAGCUGGCCUGCCAGGACUUUUGUGGGAAGGGCUGUCCUGAUGAACUUGGCGUUGCCCGGCUUUGCAUCUGUGUCCGAGGAAGUUGCACACACACUUUGCCGAGGGCAGGGGAAAUCCUCAAUGUGUGUUUGGCUUCUGGAACUAGCAGCUUAGUCUACUUCAGGCCACCAGAUCAUGACUCUUCCUUCCUUCCCAUCCUUGAUCUACCAGUAGCACCCAUGAAGAAGAAUGUACAAGUGGAGGGAGAUUCCACAGGCCCCCUCUGCACUUCCAAGUCCAAACAACCUUGCUUCCCACGUCGGACCAUGCAAUUUCAGAGCAGGGUGCAGCUGAGCUGCCUUGGAGCCUGCCUGUGUUCCGGGUCCCACCAGAAAGCCUUGGCCCUCUACCUUGUCUGAGAGGAAGUUCUGCUCUUCUGACACUUAAAAAAAUUUUUUUGGCUAUGCCAUAAAGCAUGUGGGAUCUUAGUCCCCGACCAGGCAUAGAACUUGAGCCCCAUGCAUUGGAAGCCGGAAGUCCUAACCACCGGAUCACCAGGUAAGUCCCUCUCCUGACAGUUUAUAGACAGAAGGCUUAUUGAACAGCAAAUGGCCGCAGCCAAGGUGCUCAGAGUACAGAGCUCUCUCCCAGAGCCUGCUAUACCGGGCUCAUGUCUUUGUGGCUUCCGCCUUCGGAAAAUCCUCCUUUUCCAAACGCCACUCUUCAAGCGCUGCCUCCUCCACGGAACCUCUGCGCACAACUCUUGCCCCGGUUAAUUUCUGAUCCACACCUCCCAGUUUAGUAUUUGAUUAAGUUCCCUUUUCAUGAGAUGGUCCUUUCUCCCGAAUGACGCGAUUUGGGGGCAGGGACAGCAUCAUUUAUUUCUUUUUUGUACAUCCCCUUAGUAACAAGGACCCUAUUUGCUGAACCAAAACUUGCGACGCAUAAUCUGAAAAGUAAGAAAAGGCCACCUGGAAGCUACAUAUCCUGACAGAUCUGGGCUGGUGUUGGCCUCGGCUGCCUGGGUGGGCGUGCACCCGAAGCUCCAGCAGAGCCGCCCGGUCUGCAGUUAGCUAUGAAUGGAUACGGAGUAAAUGAAUGAAAGGGAGUGAAUGAAGAGGCUUGCGGUGGGGGGGUG
ensembl:lincRNA